rnacentral:tRNA from 1 species
GGGUCGUUAGCUCAGGUGGUAGAGCAUCGGACUUUUAAUCCGUUGGUCGAAGGUUCGAGUCCUUCACGACCCA